rfam:Schistosoma curassoni strain Dakar, Senegal genome assembly, scaffold: SCTD_scaffold0002842
AUUCAGCUGACGAGUCCCAAAUAGAAUGAAACACGCCUACUGGAU